AUUGAACGCUGGCGGCAGGCCUAACACAUGCAAGUCGAGCGAGCUGCGGACGGGUGAGUAAUGUCUGGGAAACUGCCUGAUGGAGGGGGAUAACUACUGGAAACGGUAGCUAAUACCGCAUACCAUCAGAUGUGCCCAGAUGGGUUUAGCUAGUAGGUGGGGUAACGGCUCACCUAGGCGACGAUCCCUCGCUGGUCUGAGAGGAUGACCAGCGAAACGGGAACUGAAACACGGCCAGGACUCCUACGGGAGGCAGCAGUGGGGAAUAUUGCACAAGGGGCGCAAGCCUGAUGAAGAAAUGCCGCGUGUGUGAAGAAGGCCUUCGGGUUGUAAAGCACUUUCAGCGGGGAGGCGUUACCCGCAGAAGAAGCACCGGCUAACUCCGUGCCAGCCGCCGCGGUAAUAC
rnacentral:rRNA from 1 species